GUGAAUCAUCGAAUCUUUGAACGCAAAUUGCACUCUCUUCGGAGAGUAUGCCUGUUUGAGGUUCAGCCUAAAAAAAAUCGACAUAGUCGUUGUUUCUCGGUGACAUUCGUCGGAAAUUGGUUCUUCUUAAACCUUUUGGUUUUAAGCGGCUUAAAAUUUUCUUUACGAUUCCACGAACGUUUCUAAGAUUUACUUCCUCGUUUAAGGUAUCGUUUAUAUUUAGACGUGG
rnacentral:misc_RNA from 1 species